GAUGAACGCUGGCGGCGUGCCUAAUACAUGCAAGUCGAGCGAACAGAUGAGGAGCUUGCUCCUCUGACGUUAGCGGCGGACGGGUGAGUAACACGUGGAUAACCUACCUAUAAGACUGGGAUAACUUCGGGAAACCGGAGCUAAUACCGGAUAAUAUAUUGAACCGCAUGGUUCAAUAGUGAAAGACGGUUUUGCUGUCACUUAUAGAUGAAUCCGCGCCGCAUUAGCUAGUUGGUAAGGUAACGGCUUACCAAGGCAACGAUGCGUAGCCGACCUGAGAGGGUGAUCGCCCACACUGGCAGUGAGACACGGUCCAGACUCCUGCGGGAGGCCGCAGUCGGGAAUCUUCCGCAAUGGGCGAAAGCCUGACGGAGCAAAGCCGCGUGAGUGAUGAAGGUCUUCGGAUCGUAAAACUCUGUUAUUAGGGAAGAACAAAUGUGUAAGUAACUAUGCACAUCUUGACGGUACCUGAUCAGAAAGCCCCGGCUAACUACGUG
rnacentral:rRNA from 1 species